rnacentral:rRNA from 1 species
UACGUAGGGGGCAAGCGUUGUCCGGAUUUAUUGGGCGUAAAGAGCUCGUAGGCGGCUUGGCAAGUCGGGUGUGAAAACUCCAGGCUCAACCUGGAGAUGCCACUCGAGACUGCUAUGGCUAGAGUCCGGUAGGGGACCACGGAAUUCCUGGUGUAGCGGUGAAAUGCGCAGAUAUCAGGAGGAACACCAGAGGCGAAGGCGGCGACCUGGACAGGCACUGACACUCAACUACGAAAGCGUGGGGAGCAAACAGG